AGUCCACAUCGACGGGGAGGUUUGGCACCUCGAUGUCGGCUCAUCACAUCCUGGGGCUGUAGUAGGUCCCAAGGGUUGGGCUGUUCGCCCAUUAAAGUGGUACGCGAGCUGGGUUCAGAACGUCGUGAGACAGUUCGGUCCCUAUCCGUCGCAGGCGUAGGAAAUUUGAGGAGACCUGUCCUUAGUACGAGAGGACCGGGAUGGACGUACCUCUGGUGUACCAGUUGUUCUGCCAAGGGCAUGGCUGGGUAGCUAUGUACGGAAUGGAUAAGCGCUGAAAGCAUCUAAGCGCGAAGCCAACUUCAAGAUAAGAUUUCCCACCGCAAGGGUAAGACCCCAGAAAGACUAUCUGGUUGAUAGGUCGAAGGUGUAAGUGCAGCAAUGUAUUUAGCUUAUCGAUACUAAUAGGUCGAGGACUUGACCAA
rnacentral:rRNA from 1 species